AUAUACAGAUCAGCUCUCAAAAUGUCUUCUGUGUCUUCUGUGCAUCUUCUAAGACAAUUGCAUUAGCCCGACUGCUAGUUGACUAAUAGAAUUAAUAAUUGUAAAAAGCACUCUAAAGCCACAUGCCUUAUGAAGUCAAUGCUGGGUAUGAUUUUACAAAUAUGGUCCGGAAAAAGAACCCCCCUCUAAGAAACGUUGCUAGUGAAGGUGAGGUACAGACCCUUGAGUCUACAGGUACUGAAAGUGAAGAGUCUGGAAGGAAAAAAGAAUUUUCCGCAGAGCAGAUGCAAGAAAACACUGACCAGGGUGAUGCGGCAGAGUUAAAUAACAAGGAGGAACUUUGCACGCAUGUCCAAGAGCCAUCUUCCAGCAUUAAAAAGGACUUGAAAAGCUCAGUGCUGAGUGAAAAGGCUGGCUUCAAUUAUGAAAGCCACAAUAAGGGAGGAAAUGUUCCAUCCUUCCCUCAUGAUGAGGUGACAGACAGAAAUAUGCUGGCUUUCUCAUCUCCAGCUGUUGGGGGAAUCUGUGAGCCCUUGAAGUCUCCUCAAAAAUCAGAUGCAGAUGACACCCAAGAUGUGGUCUGUACCCCGUCAGGAGAUGCAGCGGAGACAAAUGAGGAGCAUCAGAUGUCGCCAAAAGCUUCAGAUGAAACAGUGCAAGUGCAAAGUGGUCAAACUGAUGGCCAAGGCUCAAGCCCGGUCCCCAUGGCCUCAAAAAACCCACAAGUGCCUUCAGAUGGGGGUUUAAGGCUGAACAAAUCUAAAGCAGAUUUGUUGGUAAGUGAUAACCCAGAUACGGCGCCUCUGUCUCCAGAGCUUCAGGACUUCAAAUGCAACAUCUGUGGAUACGGUUACUACGGGAACGACCCCACAGAUCUCAUCAAACACUUCCGCAAGUACCACCUAGGACUGCACAACCGCACCAGGCAGGAUGCUGAGCUCGACACUAAAAUUUUGGCUCUCCACAACAUGGUGCAAUUCAGCCACUCCAAAGACUUCCAGAAGGUCAACCGCACUGUGCUUUCAGGAGUGCUGCAGGACAUCAAUUCCCAGAGGCCUGUCUUAUUAAAUGGGACUUACGAUGUGCAG